AGCAGCCGCGGUAAUUCCAGCUCCAAUAGCGUAUAUUAAAGUUGUUGCAGUUAAAAAGCUCGUAGUUGAAUUUCGGGGUCAGUAGGUUGGUCAUGCCUUUGGUAUGUACUGGUCUCACUGAUUCCUCCCUCUUGAAGAACUGUAAUGUCAUUAAUUUGGUGUUGCGGGGAAUCAGGACCGUUACUUUGAAAAAAUUAGAGUGUUUAAAGCAGGCUUACGCUUGAAUACAUUAGCAUGGAAUAAUGAAAUAGGACGUUUGAUCCUAUUUUGUUGGUUUCUAGGAUUGACGUAAUGAUUAAUAGGGAUAGUUGGGGGCAUUAGUAUUCAAUUGUCAGAGGUGAAAUUCUUGGAUUUAUUGAAGACUAACUACUGCGAAAGCAUUUGCCAAGGAUGUUUUCAUUAAUCAAGAACGAAAGUUAGGGGAUCGAAGACGAUCAGAUACCGUCGUAGUCUUAACCAUAAACUAUGCCGACUAGGGAUCGGAUGAUGUUAAUUUUUUAAUGACUCAUUCGGCGCCUUA
rnacentral:misc_RNA from 1 species